UACGUAGGGUGCGAGCGUUAAUCGGAAUUACUGGGCGUAAAGUGUGCGCAGGCGGCCGAGCAAGUCGAGUGUGAAAGCCCCGAGCUUAACUUGGGAAUUGCGCUCGAAACUACUUGGCUGGAGUGUGGCAGAGGAAGGUGGAAUUCCAGGUGUAGCGGUGAAAUGCGUAGAGAUCUGGAGGAACACCGAUGGCGAAGGCAGCCUUCUGGGCCAACACUGACGCUCCAUGCACGAAAGCGUGGGGAGCAAACAGG
rnacentral:rRNA from 1 species